rfam:Parcubacteria (Falkowbacteria) bacterium GW2011_GWA2_39_24 TT42_C0035, whole genome shotgun sequence.
CCAGGGGUGGCAGAGCGGCCAAUUGCUCGAGACUGUAAAUCUCGCGGGGAAACCCUACGUAGGUUCGAAUCCUACCCCCUGGA